GUUUGGUUGUUUCAUUGAAAUUAUAUUCCAAACCAUAGCCACUGAACAUCAAUUAAUUCAAGGAAAUAACUUUGUAACACUGAUGAGGAAAGUCCAGAAAGCGAGACUUAGGGAUAACAAUCAGGCAGUUUUGGCAAUGGAGUAAAAAAUUAUCCAAAGCUAAACAUUCCAGGAGGAAUUCAGCUGCUUAUGUUCUAAAGUUUCUG
rnacentral:lncRNA from 1 species